AAGAAAAAUUCACUGAGUUGAGGGACAAACAGAAGCCAUAUGAUAACACUCUGUCUGCUAUUCAGAAAUCAUGGGAAGAGUUGGUUGGUGAAUUGGAAAUUUGUUCUACGCGCACAGAGGAUCCGAUAAGACAUGGAAAUGCAAGUAAUGAUCAAUCUUGCGCAGAAGAUGGUUCUGUCUAUGCAUGCGAUGAUUCUUUCUUAAGUCUCCUUUUACAAACUGGUGCAACUGGAAGCAGCUCUGAUGUUAACACUCAAACGGAAUAUGAACAGAAGAAAAUGGAUGAUCAAAAGAUCGUGAAAAUAUUCCGGAAUAUAGUAUCAACUGUAGAUAACGUUAGGCAAAUGAAGGACAAGUUGUGUGCUGCAGUUCUUGAGGUGCUUCCUGAAGAUGGAUCAUGCCUCCAAAAGUCAUUGAGUGAUUUGCAUGUAGGAGUUAAAAAUCUUAUACAAACAAUAAAUGAACUUCAUUUGAAGCAUCGAUCCCUGGCUGGUGCAUUGCAGAAUCAUAGAGAUACCGAUGCUAAGAAUAAAGCCGAGCUUAAGUGUUUAAGAGGGGAGUUGGAGAAAACCAUUGCACAUUUGGAUGAAAGUAACAGAAAAUUGGCAAUUCUAAAAGCAGAGAAAGAUGCUGCCAAGGGGGUUCUCUUCCCUGUCCUGAAUCUUGGAAAUAAGCACUCUGCUAACGAUAAGGCGAGAGAUAAGCAGAGAGACAUGCAGGAUAUGGAAUCCACACUUAAGGAGUAUUUGGACCAAUCCUCUUUCCGUCUAUUCGAACUCAAGCGUCUUCAUGAAGAAAGGAUAGACAUAUUGAAGCAGUUGUCCAACUUACAGAACAAACUAAAGAAUCUGAAAGCCAUAUGCUCUUCCCAACCAUAUAUCUUGGUUAAAGAUCAACUUGCGAAAGCUAAAGAGGAUCUAUCUCUUUAUCAGUCCUUAUACGAGAAACUACAGGUGGAGAAAGACAAUCUUUCGU
rnacentral:misc_RNA from 1 species